ensembl:lncRNA
CAAGGUUAACCUUGACUAAAGAGCCUCUGAAUGAACGCUUUGUGUAAAGACUGAUAUCUUCACUGAUAACCAGCUCGUGUUACACCGUCUGUUUGUUUCCUGCUAAUGGGCCAAUAGGAUUAUGAAGUCAAACACAGAAGGUACAUACAGUGGCUGCCUGUUGGUCUUCAGGCCUCCAGCGGGGCUGAACAAUGGCUCCUGCUGCUGGGUUAGGGCUAGGGCUAGGGCUAGGGCUAGGGCUAGGGCUAGGGCUAGGGUUAGUGCGUGUGCGUUUGUUUAUCUGUUUGUUGCUCUAACAACAGCAGCUCAAUGCCCGGCUUCCGGUUUAAGGCGGCUUGGUUUGCAGCUACGAGCUAAUGAGGUCACUGAGCUCCUCAGACCGCAGCACUAGAUUAGGGUUAUGAAGGUGAAGGGGAGGGGCCUGCAGCUAAUCCUGUUAGUAUCUUAGAAGUCCUCCAUUGAGCUGAUUAACAACAUUUUUACCAACAUCCCAAAGAACACUGUUGACCUGCAAGGUCUGGCCAAAGGCAGGAGGCUACGGCCAACAGGGCAGGAGGCUACGGCCAACAGGGCUGGAGGCUACGGCCAACAGGGCAGGAGGCUACGGCCAACAGGGCAGGAGGCUACGGCCAACAGGGCAGGAGGCUACGGCCAACAGGGCAGGAGGCUACGGCCAACAGGGCAGGAGGCUACGGCCCACAGGGCAGGAGGCUACGGCCAACAGGGCAGGGGGCUACGGCCAACAGGGCAGGAGGCUACGGCCAACAGGGCAGGAGGCUACGGCCAACAGGGCAGGAGGCUACGGCCAACAGGGCAGGAGGCUACGGCCCACAGGGCAGGAGGCUACGGCCCACAGGGCAGGAGGCUACGGCCCACAGGGCAGGCUUAAAGAGAUGGCGGACGGCAUUCGGGGUCACUGCUGCAACCCCGAAUGAGAAGCUAAAGUACAACAGCAUUCAAAUGACGAUAUAUCAUCAUCAUCAUCAUCAUCAUCAUCAUCAUCAUCAUCAUCAUCAUCAAUCCAUUAUUUAACCAGGUAGAAAUUCAUUGAGAUCAACAUUUCUUUUACGAAGGGCAAAUCAAAUAGCCCUUCCCUUCAGAUGCCCUGUCCCCUUGCCCAUGUUUGAAUGAGGCCACAUGAAACCCAUCUCAACCAGAAGCCCCACUAUCAGCUCUAACCCUACUAGCCCAACUGGCAGACAUGUUGUUCUCCACAGAAGCUUCUGAUCUGUUGACAACAACGCGCCAAACAACAAAUGUGGAGCUUCCCACCAUCUACAGCUAAGGGGCUAGAGAGAGAGAGAGAGAGAGA